rnacentral:rRNA from 2 species
UACGGAGGGUGCAAGCGUUGUCCGGAUUUAUUGGGUUUAAAGGGUGCGUAGGCGGCUUAUUAAGUCAGGGGUGAAAGACUAUUGCUUAACAAUGGCAGUGCCUUUGAUACUGAUAGGCUUGAGUACAGCUGAGGCAGAUGGAACGGGUGGUGUAGCGGUGAAAUGCAUAGAUACCAUCCAGAACACCGAUUGCGAAGGCAGUCUGCUAAACUGUAACUGACGCUGAGGCACGAAAGCGUGGGGAUCGAACAGG